UUGCCCAAUGAUUAUAGCAAGACGCGUUAUUAUGAGGACUAAUGCUGGAACUCUUUCUCCUCCUCCUCAUUCUCCUCCUCCUUUGUCCCUUCCUCUUUCACCUUUUACCCUCCCCCCCUCACUUUCCUUAGGGUAUCCAGCGUCCUAUGAGCAAGACUGAGAUAUGAGGGCAA
ensembl:snoRNA